rnacentral:lncRNA from 1 species
AGUGGUGGAUGGAGGGGUUCAUUCGAACCCUUAUCGGCGGAAAAUUAUAUUAUUUUUAUAUGGUUAAAAUAAUCUUUUUGGUAUAGUAGAUGUCGACCAACAGAACUCAAGAGAGCCCAGUAGAAAACAGAGAGAGUAGAAGGUAGCAAGCAAGAAGCUAGAAAAAAGGAAAAAUAAUAAGACAGUCGAUAAGAAAAAACUGGAAUUCGAUCUUGGAAAUAGGAGAAAAAAGCUCAUCAUAACCGUGAAAGUCAGUCCUUAUAGCAUAGCAAACGUUCCACUUAUAGGCUCCCGAACCCUCGAUUCGAUUGUUUUCCAAGAAUGUUGAGCCGGGUAUGUAAUUCCUACGGCUUUUUCGUAUGUCUAUUUUGAAUCCAUUAUCGAAAAUUCUGACUCCGCCUCUGCUUUUUUAACUUUGAUACUUGUUAAUUACAAAAGAAAAAAGAUAAUUUAUUUUUAAAUAAAAAAUAUCAUAAAGUACUGGC